rnacentral:lncRNA from 1 species
AAAAUAUAUUAAUAUAUAAUUUAUUAAUUAGCAAAUAAUCAGGAUCUUUUAAUAAUAAAAUUUAAGUGAUUGUUGUUGUGUACCAACAACCACAAAAAAUGGACAAUACACCAACAACAACAAAAAAUAGAAAUUAAAGAUUUAAAAUUGAUAAUAGCAUUAAACCAUUAUUCACUGAAACUUGUUAAAAAAAUGGGAAAACUGGCUAUAUGUAUACUUACAGCUGUUCUCUUUUAAGAUGAGACUGAGUUGGAAACCAUAAGUAGAUUUUAUUGUUGGGAAAGCCUGUAAAAUCCUAUGGGCUUGUAGACACAUUUUGAAUAAGAUAUGGGGAUUUAAAUUAGGUUGCUAUACUGGGUAUAUACCAUGGUUGUGACCCAUUAUUACUUACAAUGCUGCGAUUAUUUGGUGGCAAAGAGUUUUGCCAUUUUGCUUAAGACUUGCAGGAUUAAACUUGAAAAAGUUCAAAGUUUGGCCUAUCUGAGCAUCAUAGGAGCUAUGAGGACUGCUGCUCUUGGAGUCUUUUUAAAUAUUCCUCUCUUACAUUUGUUUAUUGAAGCUAGUACCUGGGAAAAUUAUUAUAGGCUCCAUUCUUGUGGGAAAAUUCUUGGAUUCAUAAAAUGGAUCACUCAUCUUUUG